AGUUCAGCGUGUACGCGAGUCAUUGGGUGUCAAAACCUAGAGGCGUAAUGAAAGUGAAGGGAACUUCUCGUUUCUGAGGGAGGAUGAGCCGGUUACCCGCAAGGGGCCGCUCCGCACUCCCGGGGCGUCUCUUUCUCAUUGCGAGUGGAGGCGCACCCAGAGCGUACACGCUGAUACCCGAAAGAUGGUGAACUAUGCCUGGCCAGGACGAAGCCAGGGGAAACCCUGGUGGAGGUCCGCAGCGAUUCUGACGUGCAAAUCGAUCGUCGGAGCUGGGUAUAGGGGCGAAAGACCAAUCGAACCAUCUAGUAGCUGGUUCCCUCCGAAGUUUCCCUCAG
rnacentral:rRNA from 1 species